UACAGAGGGGCCAAGCGUUACGCGGAAUCACUGGACUUAAAGCGUGUGUAGGCGGACUUGUAAGUAUCUUAUGAAAUCCCACGGCUCACCCGUGGAACUGCUGGAUAUACUGCGAGUCUUGAGCCACUUAGGGGCUACCGGAACAAAUGGUGGAGCGGUGAAAUGCGUAGAUAUCAUUUGGAACGCCAAUGGUGAAAACAGGUAGCUGGGAGUGUGCUGACGCUGAGACACGAAAGCCAGGGGAGCGAACGGG
rnacentral:rRNA from 1 species